rnacentral:rRNA from 2 species
UGAGGAAUUUUGCGCAAUGGCCGCAAGGCUGACGCAGCAACGCCGCGUGGGUGAAGAAGGCCUUCGGGUCGUAAAGCCCUGUCAGGUGGGAAGAACGACACGGGGAGGAAUAUGCUCUGUGAGUGACGGUACCACCAGAGGAAGCACCGGCUAACUCCGUGCCAGCAGCCGCGGUAAUACGGAGGGUGCGAGCGUUAUUCGGAAUUACUGGGCGUAAAGCGCGUGUAGGCGGCCAACCAAGUCUGAUGUGAAAGCCCUGGGCUUAACCUGGGAAGUGCAUUGGAAACUGGCUGGCUUGAGUACUGGAGAGGAAGGGGGAAUUCCCGGUGUAGAGGUGAAAUUCGUAGAGAUCGGGAGGAAUACCAGUGGCGAAGGCGCCCUUCUGGACGGUUACUGACGCUGAGACGCGAAAGCGUGGGGAGCAAACAGG